AACGAACGCUGGCGGCAGGCUUAACACAUGCGAGUCGAACGCCCCUUACGGGGAGUGGCAGACGGGUGAGUAACGCGUGGGAAUCUACCGUGCCCUGCGGAAUAGCUCCGGGAAACUGGAAUUAAUACCGCAUACGCCCUACUGGGGAAAGAUGUAUCGGGGUAUGAGGAGCCCGCGCUGGAUUAGCUAGUUGGUGGGGUAAAGGGCUACCAAGGCGACGAUCCAUAGCUGUUCUGAGAGGAUGAUCAGCCACAUUGGGACUGAGACACGGCCCAAACUCCUACGGGAGGCAGCAGUGAGGAAUAUUGGACAAUGGGCGCAAGCCUGAUCCAGCCAUGCCGCGUGAGUGAUGAAGGCCUUAGGGUUGUAAAGCUCUUUCACCGAUGAAGAUAAUGACGGUAGUCGGAGAAGAAGCCCCGGCUAACUUCGUGCCAGCCGCCGCGGUAAUAC
rnacentral:rRNA from 1 species